UCGACGAUGACACUUCGGUGGGGAUUAGUGGCGAACGGGUGAGUAACACGUGGGCAAUCUGCCCUUCACUCUGGGACAAGCCCUGGAAACGGGGUCUAAUACCGGAUACAACACUCUCGGGCAUCCGAUGAGUGUGGAAAGCUCCGGCGGUGAAGGAUGAGCCCGCGGCCUAUCAGCUUGUUGGUGAGGUAACGGCUCACCAAGGCGACGACGGGUAGCCGGCCUGAGAGGGCGACCGGCCACACUGGGACUGAGACACGGCCCAGACUCCUACGGGAGGCAGCAGUGGGGAAUAUUGCACAAUGGGCGAAAGCCUGAUGCAGCGACGCCGCGUGAGGGAUGACGGCCUUCGGGUUGUAAACCUCUUUCAGCAGGGAAGAAGCGAAAGUGACGGUACCUGCAGAAGAAGCGCCGGCUAACUACGUGCCAGCAGCCGCGGUAAUACGUAGGGCGCGAGCGUUGUCCGGAAUUAUUGGGCGUAAAGAGCUCGUAGGCGGUCUGUCGCGUCGGAUGUGAAAGCCCGGGGCUUAACCCCGGGUCUGCAUUCGAUACGGGCAGACUAGAGUGUGGUAGGGGAGAUCGGAAUUCCUGGUGUAGCG
rnacentral:rRNA from 1 species